AGCUUUGCGCAGUGGCAGUAUCAUAGCCAAUGAGGUUUAUCCAAGGCGAGAUUAUUGCUAACUAGGAAUAGAACACGGUAUGCUUUUUGUGAAAAUCAAUUAAAAUAUCCCUACCCUCCGACUUAGCAAUUUUCUUAUUAGGAAUCUGCCGUGGGAAAGAAUCU
rnacentral:snRNA from 1 species